rnacentral:rRNA from 1 species
CGGAGGGUGCAAGCGUUAUCCGGAUUCACUGGGUUUAAAGGGUGCGUAGGAGGGCAGGUAAGUCAGUGGUGAAAUCCCCGAGCUUAACUUGGGAACUGCCGUUGAUACUAUCUGUCUUGAAUAUUGUGGAGGUAAGCGGAAUAUGUCAUGCAGCGGUGAAAUGCUUAGAUAUGACAUAGAACACCAAUUGCGAAGGCAGCUUGCUACACAACUAUUGACUCUGAUGCACGAAAGCGUGGGGAUCAAACAGGAUUAGAUACCCUGGUAGUCCACGCCCUAAACGAUGGAUACUCGACAUCAGCGAUACACAGUUGGUGUCUGAGCGAAAGCAUUAAGUAUCCCACCUGGGAAGUACGACCGCAAGGUUG